GUAUUAUCUCAAAAACAGUAAUGCUGUACUGUACUGUGUCAUUCAAAAUGAAUAACUAAGAAACGAUUAAAAUGAAGUGGUCGGGGUGAUUGUAAAACAACAGAAAAUGAUGCAAAUCGUAAUCUCGUUGCCGUUAAGUUGUGGGUGUGCGAAAGAGAUGACGACAAUUUAAAUAUGUCUAUAACUCACAGUUUUCUAUAAUUCGACAGAUAAUCUAAACUGAAAUGACAGAUUGAUUUGACAGAUAAUCAGAAAACUGCGAAAACGCGACGCAAGCCGCUUGUAUUAUAAUGAACAAUAGCAAGUAUCGAAAGUGGCGUAGACUGAAAGCAGCCUAAGCUUGCGAUCACGUACUCGGCGGGUCGGCGUGUGUGAGCAGCUGGACGUCGUUGGCGCGGCAGAACGCGUGCAGGGCCGGCGGGACCACGCAGCACGAGGCCAGGUUGAUCUGCGCGAUGGCGGGACGGACGCGGGACCACGCGUGCAGCACCCUCAGGCAGCCGCCACCCACGUCCGCCACGCCGAGCUGCUUCACGCGUCCUUGAAAGACAAUUGAAUUCGAAAAUUAAAUCAAAUGUCAACAUAUA